GAUGAACGCUGGCGGCGUGCCUAAUACAUGCAAGUCGAGCGAACGGACGAGAAGCUUGCGUCUCUGAUGUUAGCGGCGGACGGGUGAGUAACACGUGGAUAACCUACCUAUAAGACUGGGAUAACUUCGGGAAACCGGAGCUAAUACCGGAUAAUAUUUUGAACCGCAUGGUUCAAGAGUGAAAGACGGUCUUGCUGUCACUUAUAGAUGGAUCCGCGCUGCAUUAGCUAGUUGGUAAGGUAACGGCUUACCAAGGCAACGAUGCAUAGCCGACCUGAGAGGGUGGUCGGCCACACUGGCAGUGAGACACGGUCCAGACUCCUACGGGAGGCAGCAGUCGGGAAUGUUCCGCACUGGGCGAAAGCAUGACGGAGCAACGCCGCGUGCGUGAUGAAGGUCUUCGGAUCGUAAAACUCUGUUAUUAGGGAAGAACAUAUGUGUAAGUAACUGUGCACAUCUUGACGGUACCUAAUCAGAAAGCCCCGGCUAACUACGUG
rnacentral:rRNA from 1 species